AACGAACGCUGGCGGCAUGCCUAACACAUGCAAGUCGAACGAGACCUUCGGGUCUAGUGGCGCACGGGUGCGUAACGCGUGGGAACCUGCCCUUAGGUUCGGAAUAACUCCCCGAAAGGGGUGCUAAUACCGGAUAAUUUCUUCUGACCAAAGAUUUAUCGCCUUUGGAUGGGCCCGCGUUGGAUUAGCUAGUUGGUAGGGUAAAAGCCUACCAAGGCGACGAUCCAUAGCUGGUCUGAGAGGAUGAUCAGCCACACUGGGACUGAGACACGGCCCAGAAUCCUACGGGAGGCGGGAGUGGGGAAUAUUGGAAAAUGGGGGGAAGGCUGAACCAGCAAUGCCGGGUGAGUGAUGAAGGCCUUAGGGUUGUAAAGCUCUUUUAACCGGGAUGGUAAUGACAGUACCGGGAGAAUAAGCUCCGGCUAACUCCGUG
rnacentral:rRNA from 1 species